ACGGAAGGCAGCAGUGGGGAAUAUUGGGCAAUGGGCGCAAGCCUGGCCCAGCAACGCCGCGUGGAGGAAGAAGGCUUUCGGGUUGUAAACUUCUUUUACCAGGGACGAAGGACGUGACGGUACCUGGAGAAAAAGCCACGGCUAACUACGUGCCAGCAGCCGCGGUAAUACGUAGGUAGCAAGCGUUGUCCGGAUUUACUGGGUGUAAAGGGCGUGUAGGCGGAGAUGCAAGUCAGGAGUGAAAUCUAUGGGCUCAACCCAUAAACUGCUUUUGAAACUGUAUCCCUUGAGUAUCGGAGAGGCAGGCGGAAUUCCUAGUGUAGCGGUGAAAUGCGUAGAUAUUAGGAGGAACACCAGUGGCGAAGGCGGCCUGCUGGACGACAACUGACGCUGAGGCGCGAAAGCGUGGGGAGCAAACAGGAUUAGAUACCCUGGUA
rnacentral:rRNA from 1 species